rnacentral:misc_RNA from 1 species
GUGAGUCAUCGAAUCUUUGAACGCACAUUGCGCCCCUUGGUAUUCCAUGGGGCAUGCCUGUUCGAGCGUCAUCUACACCCUCAAGCUCUGCUUGGUGUUGGGCGUCUGUCCCGCCUUUGCGCGCGGACUCGCCCCAAAUUCAUUGGCAGCGGUCUUUGCCUCCUCUCGCGCAGCACAAUUGCGAUGAGGGGGGCGUGGCCCGCGUCCACGAAGCAACAUUACCGUCUUUGACCUCGGAUCAGGUAGGGAUACCCGCUGAACUUAAGCAUAUCAAUAAGCGGAGGA